rnacentral:rRNA from 1 species
AUGGUUAGCUACCCUGGGGACUGGGAUAGCGGCGGGAAACUGCCGGUAAUACCAGAUGAUAUCUUCGGAUCAAACGUGUAAAUCGGCCCUAGGAGGUGACCAUGUCCUAUCAGCUAGUUGGCGGUGUAACGGACCACCAGGGCUAAGACGGGUAUGGGGCGUGAGAGCGUGCCCCCACUCACUGGGACUGAGACACUGCCCAGACACCUACGGGUGGCUGCAGUCGAGAAUCUUCGGCAAUGGGCGCAAGCCUGACCGAGCGACGCCGCGUGCGGGAUGAAGGCCUUCGGGUUGUAAACCGCUGUCGUAGGGGAGGAAGGUCUGGUGUAUAGCCAGGCUUGACCGAUCCUAGGAGGAAGGGCCGGCUAAUCUCGUGCCAGCAGCCGCGGUAAUACGAGAGGCCCAAACGUUAUUCGGAAUUACUGGGCUUAAAGAGUUCGUAGGCGGCAUGAAAAGUAGGGUGUGAAAGCCCUCGGCUCAACCGAGGAAUUGCGCUCUAAACUGUCGUGCUAGAGGAACCUAGAGGUGAGCAGAACU